ACCUCCCACCCCGUCGUCGUCGCACUCACAGCGGCACCAGCCAUAGAGGCCUGUGGUGACGUCCUCCUUCGGUAUCCCCUCCAGCCGGGUGGCUCCGCACCGCAUCCGGCCCCGGCCCCGGCCGGCCGCGCGGGCCCUGUCCCGCAUCAGCACGCCGCCCUCCGCGAGCACCACCACAUCCGCCACGCACACCUCCGGCGAGGCCAGCGCCUGGCGGCACUCCACGUGCCACCCCGCCCCCCGCGUCGAGCGGAGAAGACGCCCUCCACCGCGGCCUCCUCCCCGGCGGCGGCGAGCACCUCGAAUCACGCGCUCGCGUACGCGUCGGUGGCGACCCGGCGGAG
rnacentral:misc_RNA from 1 species